AUUUAUACAGUGAAACUGCGAAUGGCUCAUUAAAUCAGUUAUCGUUUAUUUGAUAGAUCCUUUCUACUUGGAUACCUGUGGAAAAGCUAGAGCUAAUACAUGCUAAAAAUCCCGACUUCUGGAAGGGAUGUAUUUAUUAGAUAAAAAAUCAAUGCCUUCGGGCUCUUUGAUGAUUCAUAAUAACUUUUCGAAUCGCAUGGCUUCGUGCCGGCGAUGGUUCAUUCAAAUUUCUGCCCUAUCAACUUUCGAUGGUAGGAUAGUGGCCUACCAUGGUUUCAACGGGUGACGGGGAAUAAGGGUUCGAUUCCGGAGAGGGAGCCUGAGAAACGGCUACCACAUCCAAGGAAGGCAGCAGGCGCGCAAAUUACCCAAUCCUAAUUCAGGGAGGUAGUGACAAUAAAUAACGAUACAGGGCCCAUUGGGUCUUGUAAUUGGAAUGAGUACAAUUUAAAUACCUUAACGAGGAACAAUUGGAGGGCAAGUCUGGUGCCAGCAGCCGCGGUAAUUCCAGCUCCAAUAGCGUAUAUUAAAGUUGUUGCAGUUAAAAAGCUCGUAGUUGAACCUUGGGCUUGGUUGGCCGGUCCGCCUUACGGUGAGUACUGGACCCAACCGAGUCUUUCCUUCUGGGAAACCUUCUGCUCUUUCGGGUAGUUGGGGAACCAGGACUUUUACUUUGAAAAAAUUAGAGUGUUCAAAGCAGGCCUUUGCUCGAAUAUAUUAGCAUGGAAUAAUAGAAUAGGACGUUAUGGUUCUAUUUUGUUGGUUUCUAGGACCAUCGUAAUGAUUAAUAGGGACGGUCGGGGGCAUCAGUAUUCAAUUGUCAGAGGUGAAAUUCUUGGAUUUAUUGAAGACUAACUACUGCGAAAGCAUUUGCCAAGGACGUUUUUCAUUAAUCAAGAACGAAAGUUAGGGGAUCGAAGAUGAUCAGAUACCGUCGUACUCUUAACCAUAACUAUGCCGACUAGGGAUCGGGUGUUGUUCUUUUUUUGACUCACUCGGCACUUUACGAGUACAUCAAGUCAUUGGGUUCUGGGGGG
rnacentral:rRNA from 1 species